UACGGAAGGCAGCAGUGGGGAAUAUUGCACAAUGGGCGCAAGCCUGAUGCAGCCAUGCCGCGUGUAUGAAGAAGGCCUUCGGGUUGUAAAGUACUUUCAGCGGGGAGGAAGGCGAUGCGGUUAAUAACCGCGUCGAUUGACGUUACCCGCAGAAGAAGCACCGGCUAACUCCGUGCCAGCAGCCGCGGUAAUACGGAGGGUGCAAGCGUUAAUCGGAAUUACUGGGCGUUAAAGCGCACGCAGGCGGUCUGUUAAGUCAGAUGUGAAAUCCCCGGGCUUAACCUGGGAACUGCAUUUUGAACUGGCAGGCUUGAGUCUUGUAGAGGGGGUAGAAUUCCAGGUGUAGCGGUGAAAUGCGUAGAGAUCUGGAGGAUACCGGUGGCGAAGGCGGCCCCUGGGCAAAGCUGACGCUCAGGUGCGAAAGCGUGGGGAGCGAAACAGGGAUUAGGAUAC
rnacentral:rRNA from 1 species